rnacentral:lncRNA from 1 species
UUUGACACACACAAGAGAACUGAAGGUCUAAGAGUGCCGGUAUUGUCAGUAUAAAAGCAUUCCUGAUAGGUCUGGGCAUACAACUCUAAGUGCAACUCUAAGGAGCUCAAGCUGGGAUUUUCUGCUUUUGCCAUGACCCUGCUGCCCUUUGCUUCUGGCUGAAUUUAAAAGCAAACCUACCAGAUUUGCACUUUAUGAAACAAUAUGCAAACUAAAAAAAACACCGACCAUCGUUCGCAAUUCACACCUCAGAAUUUUGCAGUGCAGUUCUAUGUUCAAGUAACCUGUACAAAAAUACAUAUACUAGGGUAAAGUGUGCAUAAAAAUGCAUAUAUCAGUGAUAAAACAUACAAAGGUGUCUUAUAUUACGGGAAAUUGUUUUGCAAACCAUGUUUAUUAGGCAAAAUUUCCUAGAAAAAUGUCUGUAUUGGGAGAAAUUUGCACUAAGUUGGUGAUGAAUUUCCAUGAGCACUUAAAGCAAUCUGAUGUAUCCUAUCGCCCAAGGAUGCCCUUUCAGGGGCCACGGGAUUGCAAUCUAAACGGUUUGUGUUUUGUUUUCUGGUUUAUGUAGCCCUGACGAAAAUAACCUAUGUAUUUUAUUUUAUACACCAUGAGCUUUGGAAUGAUUCCUUCUUGUUGAAAAUUGUUUAAACAACAUCAACAUCUCUGGCAACACUUGCUGCAGAUGUAUGUAGUGACAACAGCUGAAGAUCUGAGAAAACCACAUUGUAUAUUCUAAAGCAGGGGUCAGCAAACUUUUUCAGCAGGGGGCCAUUCCACUGUCCCUCAGACCUUGUGGGGGGCCAGACUAUAUUUUUUUUUGGGGGGGGGGGAAUGAACGAAUUCCUAUGCCCCACAAAUAACCCAGAGACGCAUUUUAAAUAAAAGCACACAUUCUACUCAUGAAAAAACACUCUGAUUCCUGUACCAUCCACAGGCCGGAUUUAGAAGGCGAUUGGGCCGGAUCUGCCCCCCGGACCUUAGUUUGCCUACCCAUGUUCUGAUCAAUACAAACCAAAACACUACACUUGCAGAGGUUUCCUGUUUUGCUCAUCUGAAGGCAAAAGCUCCUUCAACUGCAUGUCUGAGCUCAUGAUGGAGGAUGGUGAAGCUAUCGCCUUGGUCCAACAAGUGAAACACAUGUGUUUACCAGAACUAGAAAGACCUGAGCCAGGAGGCAGAAGCCCCACUAAAAUCACCUUCAAAACCACAUGUGGAUGCACGAGUGGACUGAAUCCAGUUCUUUGCCUGAACUGAUUAUUGAUGCUCUUCAAAACCGUUUGAUAAGGCCUCAUGUUUGCACUCUCAUUUUCACCUUUUAGACCCUUGUUCCCACGCCCUGAGAGACACAUCCGCAGCACCUGUUUGCGCAUGAUCUUCCCUCUGCUGUACGGGAGCCACAGUUCAUUGCUUAUUUACAUACACCCCACAGAGAUGCUUUCAUCAAACCCAAAACACACACACACAACCAUGCCUGCUGUUGUGUAUCUCCACUUCCACAUGCAAAAUGGGUGCUAUCAGAAACAGGUCUUAAAUUCCAAGUCCCUGAGUGGGUCAGCUGCAGUCAAAUGCUGGGUUUACAUCCAGACGCAGCGGAUGUUGCACAGUUCCCCUUUGCUUCUCUUGCCCAAGAUGCUCUUGGCAGAAAGAUGGGCCUCAGGUGGGCAACCGGGAUGAGCACUGAUUAGCUGGAAGAGGUAAAGAGAUUUAUACAUCCAAUAUAACGAAACCUGUAUGAUCCUGUAUAACUUGCCCGUUGCUAAUCUCCUUCCAACUGUGCUUUGGCACGGAACACCAAGCCUACUCCAGCCCAGUAUGCAGCUCUGUAUAUUUCUCUGGUAAUUAACCUUGACAAUUUGAAGUGUACAGCUUCAGCCUGGGUAUCAUGCUUGUUCCUACCCUCUGCUGCUAAAAUAAAAUUAUAUCUUUGCUCAUCCAUUCAUUUUACAUGUAGAAAGACAGAUGGUUGCUCUGGAUUGUUCUGUGCUGCAACAGAUGCCGUAAUUGAGGGCUGGGAAACUCUGCCAAAUUAAUUAGAUACCCUUACCAAUUUGGAUGGAAAGGACAGUGCAUUACCAUUCCGCGCUGUAGAGCUUCUGACACAUUGGGGUUAUCUUUGUUGAAUUUGCAGGUUUCCUUGGGAACUCUUCCCAUUGUUCAAGCUGGGACUAGAACUGCUUGCAUCACUGAGGGAUUUGCCAGGUGCAGAACGGUGAAGACGCAAGAGCAGCAAAACGAAGGAGAAGGGAGAAUUGGGGGACAAAAGCAGAAAUGUAUCCAAGUGUUUAUAGAAAAGUCAGUAUAUCCUCACUUCCAUUCACCCAUUAAAAAAUCAGGUAAGGAAAUGGACCAUUGUUAUUCUAAUGAGCAAAAUGCCCUUCUCAGUAAGAUGGACAGGGAGGAUGUGAGGAACUGGGUAUUACAUGGACCCCUAAGUGUGCACACAUGUACAGAGGGUUUCUCUGCAAUCCUUAAAAAGGAAGCAACACCCAAAGGUGGCUUCAAUUCAGAUCCUGUUCAGUGCACGGUGCUAUGCAAAAAAAUAAAUAAACUCAGUCAAAGUGGCCUAAUAAGCAAGACCGUCAUAGAAGAGAGAGAAAGCUGACUUAGAAUGGAGCAUCAACUUUUAUUUUACCCUCAAACCAAGGGGAGAAGAGGAAACAAUAAAGAAAAAAAAUGGUCUUCUUGAAUAAAAAGAGUCCUGUUGGAUCAGAUCAAUGGCCCAACUAGUCCAGCAUCCUCUUCUUGCAGUGGCCAAGCAAACUGCCUCCAACAAUGGAAGGACAACAUAGUCGUUUUGGUUUGUAGCCAUAUGCUAGCUCACCCUGCCAUCUCUGAGAAACGUAUUACUGAAAUAAUUUUAUCAAAGAAAACCAGUUAUUUAUUAAAAUAUUUAUAUGCUGCUGCAUCAUAAAAAAUAAUAAUAAUCACAGGGGUUUACAAUAUAAAACAAAAACCAGACAGUAAAGCCAUAAAAGUUAAAAACAAGUUAAAAGCAAUAAUAAAUAAAUAAAUAAAUACAUCUAUAGACAAUUGUGGGGAUGUACUCUUAAUGGCCUGCCUAGGGCUAGCAGAAUAGAAAAGUUAUCAGCAGGUGUUUAAAAGGUGGCACAGAAGGAGCCAAUGAGUAUCUAUUGGCAGAGUCUUCCACAGCUGAUAACAUGAAAAGCUUGGUUUAUCACUGUUGUUGGUUGACAACACCAAUUCAGGGAACCAUCAGAAAAAGUGCCGAUAAUUCAUGAAACGAAACAACUUUUUUCAAACAAAGACGCAAUUCAUGUGAGAUUGAGAAAGCAUUACAACUUGAACCUGGCUUUAAGCAUUGCUGAGUUCAAGCUGCAUCGAUUCAGAAUAUGACUAGGCCAAGCUGAUUCCAUUCCACUUUCUAAGAAACAAAUACCCCUCUCUUAUUAUCACUUAUUACUCUCGUACGGGACUGCUUUGACACACAGGAGCUGGCAGAAGGGAAAUGACACAGCAGUUUGAAGGAUAGCUAUUGCACUAAUGGCAAGACUGGAGGGUUCUCAGCACUGGCAUACUUGAACAAGAACUAGUAUUAAGGGACAAACUUCACCUAUUUCAGGAUAUGUGUGAUUCUUCUUAAAGGCAGCCAUGUGGUGAAGGGCCAUUUGGAUCAGGGCAGGCAAUUUUCCAGGGCAAAACUUCUCCCUCCCAGUGCUGCUGUGAGCUGCAUUCUUUCAUAGUACAUGCUAUGGCUCUGAUCUCAAACACCAUGCUUCAAAAAGGUGCGUUUGCUUUUAGGGAAAGGAGGAGACAUCGGGAGAUCCAGGCAUGGAGCUUAGUAGUUUGAGCCAAAGACAGUUGUACACAGGAUCAUAAUGACAUGAAGUAGGAUACCUAGAAUUUUAAGGGAAGGAUCCAGGUUUGAUGCCCUAUGACAAACAUUGGAGAGCUACUGCUAGCCACUGUAAGGAACAGUGGGCCAACUCUGGAUGGAGAAGUUUCCUAUGCUUAGGCCGUGGCGGGUCUACUUAUUACCAGUGCCACUUAACUCAAAACAAUACGUGGCAAUGUUAUGUGUGAAGACUUCCAGAUGGGUCCCACCAGUUGUUUUGACUGCUUUCAUACCUCUAGCAGCUACUACUAGGAGUGCCUGGUGGAGAAUGUCUACAUGAAGUGGGUCCAAUUUGCUGCAUAUAAAACCUUCAUGGGAACCAGUCACCAUACAGAGGUUGUUUCAAGUGGUGCUCAAGAGUCAGAGAACGGUGGCUGAUGAUGUUUAUAGGCACAAUAUGUGCUUCCGCCAAAGCUUUCUGUUUUCCACAGACUAAUGACUUAUUGGUCCAAAAUGCCUUUAACUAUUAGCAUCAGAUGCAUGCUUCUACAACAGAGUAUAGUGUCAUUUUAAUAAAUCUCCUCACAUAAGAAAGUACAUUUUAGGCAAGUUUGGGUCAUUUUGUCUCAAGUUCUUUGCAG